UUUUUUUUUUUUUUUUUUUUUUUUUUCUUUUUGGAAUCACUAGGAACUUGAGUACUGCUUGGUGUCAUAGAUGACCUCUAUUGGGAUAGAAGCCAUUCAGAGGUCAAAAUUGCCUCCAAUGAGUAGAUUUUCAGGAUGGUUGCCCUUGAAUUCUUUUAGAAGUGUUACAUUUAAACAGAGGGAUGCCUCGUGUUCUGAAACUUUCCCAUUAACCUUUUAAAUUCAGAGGUGAAUUGUAAUGCUCCGGUAGGUUUUAAAAAAGAAUUUUCUUUAUAUGUGAUCAUAUUUUUUAAAAACAGCUGAAAUUAAGUAUGUAUCUCAGAGUCAUGUGGACCAUUAUGGAAGUUAUAUCUGUUUCAUGUAAUUAAUUAACAUUUCAUUUUAAGUAAAAUGUAGUGAUGAUUUUGCACAUGUUAAGUGCUCAAUAAAAACUGCAUGAAUAGAUUUAAAGAAUUGGCAGGGCAAUAGAAAUUCUGACUGCAUUUGAUACAGUUCUGAGUAUACCUUGAAAUAAAUUCCCAAACACCUCUUGAAUUGUUAGGAAAAGAUAAGAAGUCUGCAUAAAGCCAGAGUGACAGACUGCUAAACCCUGGGUUGUAUCAUUGCUCUGCUUGGCCUGCAUGUGAUUCUCUUUCAUUUUUUCCUCUCUUCUUCUUCCCUCCCAAUUUGGAUUUGUUGCCAGCAUUUAAAAAUUAAACAAUUUCACAUAAAAAUUCAGAUAUCUGAAUUUCCUUGAAAAAUUAGAUCUAUAAACAUUUGGACCUACCUUCCUAUAUGGCAACAACCAUCAGCUGACAUGGAAUAUUGGCUGCCCCCUUUAGAUUAGGUGUGUUUUCUAGAGUUCUCCACUGCUCCUACAAAUCUCACCAAUAAACUUUAUUCAUUUACAUUACAGGUCUGAGCCCAUAAGACUUUUAAGCCACUGAUAGAUAUAAGACUUACCUUUUUGCUGACCAUCUGUGCUUCUCAGCUUGUCACAAUUAUGGUAAAUGCAACAAUCUUACAUCUCUUGAUGUAAGGAUCUCCUGAACUCUUUCUUCUUUGACCAGCCUCUAGGAAAUGUUAACUAUUUCUUUACUAUUCUGUACAUUAUUAAAAAAAAAAAAAGAUUUUAUUUAUUUGACACAGGGAGAGAAAAAGCAUUAGCACAAGCAGGGGGAGUGGCAGAAGGAGAAGGAGAAGCAGACUCCCAGUGAGCAGACUCCCCAGUGAUGGGGCUCCAUGCCAGGACCCCAGGAUCAUGACCUGAGCCAAAGGCAGACCCUUACUCGACUGAGCCCCCCAGGCACCCCUAUUCUGUACAUUCUUAUCUUCAUACAAUUGGCAAUACAUCCAGAUUGCACAUAGUUCCAGGCCAGGUUUACAAGCUCACAUUCUGAGUAACAUUGACCAUUAGAUAAAAUUCAUCUUGGUCAAGUAAAGGAAGUUCAGGGUAGCUAGAGACCAAGCCCUUAAGAUAGGGACUAAAGUACACUUUCUCUAAAAAGCUUGGAAAAUUUUGGGUGUCAUCAGAGAAGGGUAUUAGAAGUGAAACACCACCAUCUAGAAUCAUAGUUUUACCUCUACAUACAAGACAAAUGCCAAUCCUUCUUGUGUGCCUUUUGACCAUCUACUGAGCUUACCUCUAUGAAGGAAGGAAAGGCCAAACUCUAGGCCCAAGUCCAUAGUGCAGAUUACUACUGCUUCUGCUCCUUUACUCUUUAAGAAGAACUAUAUUAGGACUUCUUCUCAAGAACAGAGUGUGAACUGUGAUAUGAUAGAGACCAAUUGCUUGCAGUGAGUAGGAAAUGGAGAGAACCUGCCAUCAGCUUCUGGAGUGAUUAUGACUAAGUCCUAAUGUCUCCAAUAUGUAUAUUGAGGGGAACUAGGCUAGGUUAAAUCUGAAGUCCCUAUGGCAUACUACUAACUCCAGGAUCCUAUACAUAGUUUUGUGUAAUGAAUAGCAUAGUGAUAAUAGCAUGUGAAAAUCAACAAGUAGUCUGUAUAGAGUACCACAAGAAAGAUUAUGGAGUUGGAAAAGCUCCAGAGAAAGACAAGCAAAAUAGCGAGGGAAAUAGAGAAGGCUUCUGUAUAGGAGCAUCUAGAAAGAUUUGGAAGUUUGGGCCAGAUGGACAAAUCUGCAGGUGGGAGAAGACAGGAUCAAAAUUUCUAAAAUACUGAGGAGGAGGAUGGACAGGGAGAACUUGGGUAUUCUCUCCCUGCAGGUACCAUCAAGAGUGAAGGGAGGAGCACCUGGCUGACUCAGCUGGUAGAGUACAUGGAUCUUGAUCUCAGGAUCUUGAGUUAGGGUCCCAUAUGGGGUGGAGAGAUUACUUAAAAAUAAAAUCUUUUAAAAAAAGUGAAAGGAAAGUUGCCAGGGCACAUCCAAGUUUACUGUCAGAGCUGGGAUCAGCAUGGGCAUCAGAAGUAGCAAGACAUCUCUCAGUCUGUUGGACACAGAGAAUUUAUUAAAAGCAUUGAACCAUGUUAUUCUCUUGGACUUCUGAAUUAUUAGGCACAAAGCUAUCAGGAAAGGUGGAAUUACACUCAUACCCAGUUAGCCUUUUCUUUUUCUUUAUUUUUAAAAUUUUUUUAAAAAAAGAUUUUAUCGGGAUCCCUGGGUGGCGCAGCGGUUUGGCGCCUGCCUUUGGCCCAGGGCGCGAUCCUGGAGACCUGGGAUCGAAUCCCACGUCGGGCUCCCGGUGCAUGGAGCCUGCUUCUCCCUCUGCCUGUGUCUCUGCCUCUCUCUCUCUCUGUGACUAUCAUAAAUAAAUAA
rnacentral:lncRNA from 1 species